UACGAAGGGGGCUAGCGUUGCUCGGAAUCACUGGGCGUAAAGGGUGCGUAGGCGGGGCGUUAAGGCAGGGGGGAAAUCCUGGAGCUCAACUCCAGAACUGCCUUUGAUACUGAAGAUCUUGAGUUCGGGAGAGGUGAGAGGAACUGCGAGUGUAGAGGUGAAAUUCGUAGAUAUUGGGAAGAACACCAGUGGCGAAGGCGGCUCACUGGCUCGUAUCUGACGCUCAGGCGCGACAGCGUGGGGAUCAAACAGG
rnacentral:rRNA from 1 species